GGCUCAGGAUUAACGCUAGCGGCAGGCAUAAUACAUGCAAGUUGAACGAGAUUAGUUUAGCAAUAGAACUAGUUAGUGGCGCACGGGUGCGUAACGCGUAUGCAACCUACCUUAAACAGGGGAAUAGCCUCUCGAAAGGGAGAUUAAUACCGCAUAAGACAGUAGCUGGGCAUCCAGCAGCUGUUAAAGAUUUAUCGAUGUAAGAUGGGCAUGCGUCCAAUUAGUUAGUUGGCGAGGUAAUGGCUCACCAAGACUUUGAUUGGUAGGGGAACUGAGAGGUCAAUCCCCCACACUGGCACUGAGAUACGGGCCAGACUCCUACGGGAGGCAGCAGUAGGGAAUAUUGGGCAAUGGAAGCAAUUCUGACCCAGCCAUGCCGCGUGAAGGAAGAAGGUCCUCUGGAUUGUAAACUUCUUUUAUCGGGGAAGAAGAAUCGCCUUGCGAGGUGAAGUGACGGUACCCGAUGAAUAAGCCACGGCUAACUACGUG
rnacentral:rRNA from 1 species